GCCCCCGUGGCGAAGUGGAAACGCGCGUGUCUCGCAAACCACGUAUUGCCUGGGUUCGAUUCCCAGCGGGGGCUCCA
rnacentral:tRNA from 1 species